GCAGUCGCCACGGGAAUACAGAGGGUGCGAGCGUUAAUCGGAUUUACUGGGCGUAAAGCGUGCGUAGGCGGCUUUUUAAGUCGGAUGUGAAAUCCCUGAGCUUAACUUAGGAAUUGCAUUCGAUACUGGGAAGCUAGAGUAUGGGAGAGGAUGGUAGAAUUCCAGGUGUAGCGGUGAAAUGCGUAGAGAUCUGGAGGAAUACCGAUGGCGAAGGCAGCCAUCUGGCCUAAUACUGACGCUGAGGUACGAAAGCAUGGGGAGCAAACAGGAUUAGAUACCCGCGUAGUCCCUGUCUCUUAUAC
rnacentral:rRNA from 1 species